rnacentral:rRNA from 1 species
GGGUAGGGCUUCACACGUCAUACAAUGGUCGGUACAGAGGAUUGCCCAACCCGCGAGGGGGAGCUAAUCCCACAAAGCCGAUCGUAGUCCGGAUCGCAGUCUGCAACUCGACUGCGUGAAGUCGGAAUCGCUAGUAAUCGUGGAUCAGCAUGUCACGGUGAAUACGUUCCCGGGUCUU